GGGGUAGAGGCGCGAUAUUUAUUAGUUCCUUUUGGAGUGUAGAGCAACGAUGAAUAGAGGAAGAAGGAAAUAUUGCCGAAGUAUGUCAGUAGGCUCACUACUUUCAUACUGGGUCUGCAGUGAAUAACUGCAGGACUGUCUCAGCUGGUCUCCCAACCAACUGAGGGGUGCUAU
rnacentral:ncRNA from 1 species